rnacentral:lncRNA from 1 species
UGGGCCAGCAUCCUUGCAUAUGAUAGAAUACAUUUAAUUUUGUACAUCUAAGACUUGCUUUUUUAAAUAAAUAUAAUUAUGAUCUUUAUAUCCAUCUUAUUUUUUUGGAUAGCUUGUAGUUUCACUUCACUUUUCUAUUUCUUUUUUACUAUAUCCUAUUCUUUUUGUUGCAUUGCUUUUCUCUGGAGAAUUUCUGAUUAUUUUCAUGCCAUGGUAACGUGGUUUAAUAUCUUUUACACUAUGUUCUUGAAUCUGCACUUGCUCUUUGUAUUUAUGAUAAAAAUGAUAUCU